rnacentral:rRNA from 1 species
ACAUGCCUACAAUAUAACAUUAAUGCACUAGAUCCCAUUAGAACUUCACAAUUAAGCGCACUCGAGCUAGAGUAGUACUGGGAUGGGUGACCGCCUAGGAAGUCCUAGUGUUUUACAUGCC